AUACGAAAGGUGCAAGCGUUGUUCGGAUUUACUGGGCGUAAAGAGAGUGUAGGUGGUUUAUUAAGUCGGAUGUGAAAUCCCGGGGCUCAACCUCGGAACUGCAUUCGAUACUGAUAGGCUGGAGUUUGGGAGGGGUAAGCGGAAUUCCGUGUGUAGCAGUGAAAUGCGUAGAUAUACGGAGGAACACCUGAGGCGAAGGCGGCUUACUGGACCAAUACUGACACUGAGACUCGAAAGCGUGGGUAGCAAACAGGAUUAGAAACCCCAGUAGUCC
rnacentral:rRNA from 1 species